rnacentral:tRNA from 1 species
UGGGGUGUCGUCCAACUGGUAGGACACAGGACUUUGGAUCCUGUCGGUGGAGGUUCGAGCCCUCCCACCCCAG